GACGGAGGAUGCAAGUGUUAUCCGGAAUCACUGGGCGUAAAGCGUCUGUAGGUGGUUCGAAAAGUCCACUGUUAAAAAUUGAGGCUUAACUUCAAAGAUGCCGUGGAAACUUUCAAACUAGAGUAUGGUAGGGGUAGAGGGAAUUUCCAGUGGAGCGGUGAAAUGCGUAGAUAUUGGAAAGACCACCGAUGGCGAAGGCACUCUACUGGGCUAUUACUGACACUGAGAGACGAAAGCUAGGGGAGCAAAUGGG
rnacentral:rRNA from 1 species